rnacentral:rRNA from 1 species
UACGUAGGUGGCAAGCGUUGUCCGGAUUUAUUGGGUUUAAAGGGUGCGUAGGCGGCCCUGUAAGUCAGUGGUGAAAUACUCUAGCUUAACUAGAGGGGUGCCAAUGAUACUGCAGGGCUUGAGUACAGAUGAGGUAGGCGGAAUUGACGGUGUAGCGGUGAAAUGCAUAGAUAUGACAUAGAACACCAAUUGCGAAGGCAGCUUACUUCACGAUUAUUGACACUGAGGCACGAAAGCGUGGGGAGCAAACAGG